rnacentral:lncRNA from 1 species
UUUAUUCAAAACUCAAAUAUUAUUCCAACCAAAAUAUACUUUUGCAAGAAAGAACAAAGAGAGAAUAGAAAAAUGAAACGAGCGGAUUUCUCGAAGGGAACCUCGAACCCGAACUGUCACGCAAAUCAGUAGAGUGAAUGAGCGAUCUUUACAUUGGACAAAUCCAAACUUUGAACUACUCAAAUCUCUUGAAUCCAAAUCUAAAUUCUAGCCAAACACGUGAGGGAAUUUGAGGCCAACUGCCGUUUUUGUCUUCUUCUUUGAUAUGUUCCUGAAACGAAAAUAAGAUGCAGAGGCUACCCCACAUCCCCAAUACCUCCCAACAUUCCAAUUGGAAUAGCCAUUGAAGAUUUGAGUGAAUAAAAAUAGAGAGUUAUCCUCAAACAAAAUAUUAACCAGUAUUAAAAUAUAUGCCCACAAUAGGAAAUAGCAAUAUUUAAAUAGCUAAAAGAAAUAUCUAAGGUUAAUCAAUAUUGCAACAAUUCAAAAGAAAGUUCAAGUACAGCGAACCAAAAUGGGAAUGGGACUAUUUAAUAUCGAAUCAAUGUUGUUAAAAAGGUCACCAAACUUGUGAAAAGGAAGAUUAUGGUAGGGUGGAGUUACGGUUUUUAUGCAAAUCAGAUUCAAGGGAGGUGAAUUGGCUACUCUCCCGAAUUUCUUGAAGAAAGAGAUCUACCGUUUUAGUUUUUUAGGAACUGGGAACUUUUGUUGUUUUUGAAGGAGACAGGCUGCCAUUUUUUGUGUAGUUUAGG